GAUGAACGCUGGCGGCGUGCCUAAUACAUGCAAGUCGAGCGAACGGACGAGAAGCUUGCUUCUCUGAUGUUAGCGGCGGACGGGUGAGUAACACGUGGAUAACCUACCUAUAAGACUGGGAUAACUUCGGGAAACCGUAGCUAAUACCGGAUAAUAUUUUGAACCGCAUGGUUCAAAAGUGAAAGACGGUCUUGCUGUCACUUAUAGAUGGAUCCGCGCUGCAUUAGCUAGUUGGUAAGGUAACGGCUUACCAAGGCAACGAUGCAUAGCCGACCUGAGAGGGUGAACGGCCACACUGGAACUGAGACACGGUCCAGACUCCUACGGGAGGCAGCAGUAGGGAAUCUUCCGCAAUGGGCGAAAGCCUGACGGAGCAACGCCGCGUGAGUGAUGAAGGUCUUCGGAUCGUAAAACUCUGUUAUUAGGGAAGAACAUAUGUGUAAGUAACUGUGCACAUCUUGACGGUACCUAAUCAGAAAGCCACGGCUAACUACGUG
rnacentral:rRNA from 1 species